rnacentral:lncRNA from 1 species
UGAUAAAUAAACUAUGUUAAGAAAAAAACGAGAUGAUGUUAUGUACUAGAAUAACAUGUAAUGUAAUUUGGUAAAUGGAUGUAAUAAAUAAUGAAAGCUUUGUAUUUUGUUUAAAGUAUUCAAGAUACAAUGAAUGCAUGUAUAGUUAGUUUAUUUUCACUUGUGUUUGUUGCUUGCCCUCGUACAAGCCAUGUAUAUUGAAAUUAAUCCUGAGCUAAUUCUUUAUACAUGAUGGUCGUUGUUGUUGAGCCUUGGGCAGACAGGG